UUUUUUAGUAAUAUAAUAAAAGUUGAAAAUGAAAUAAAUUUUUAUGCUGAUCAUAUAAACUUCAUCUCUUUUAAUCGUGAAUCCGACACAUUUAGCCGACAGUAGUGGCGUACUGAGGAUUAUAGUACUGUGGUCUUUCUUACUUAUGAGUGGCCACUAUGCAGGGGAUGGUGGGGGUGUCCACCCCUAUGGACAUAAGAAUCAGUCGCCAAAUUUUCUAUCCUAAGUGACCUUUUUAUUUUUUGCAAAAAAUGUUAGUGGACACUGGUAAACUAAUAUGUAGUCGGUAGUUUUUCAAACUAAAACCCAACCAUAUUGGGAAGGCUAUAAACGUAAAUGCAGUAGUACUAUAAAGUAUGAAUAAGGACCCCACCAAAACGGCCGGGGAUAUAUGGUGAAAGGCAUAGUCCCCCUCACCCACAUGAUGUGGGUUUACUCUGUCAUAUGUUGACGGGCAGUGUAAACGGCCGGGGGGAUAUGAUGAAAGGCAUAUGACCCCCUUCCCAUGAAAGGUUAAGAGUAUAAUGGAGGGGUUCUCUCAUGGCAGUAGAUAUCACAAGUAUGGAGGGUUAAUCUACAUGUGGGAAUACAUAAGAAGGGGAGGUGAUGAUGAAACUCAUCAUAAGGUGAUCAUUUAUGAUAUUUAAGUAAAUAAAUAAAUAUGUACUAUAUUAUACUAUUUCAUAGAUAAAAUAUUUAUACGUUAGAAAUAAUAUUUUAUCAAAUUCUUUUUUAACACGUUUAUAUUAGUUUCACUUGUAUGUGUGUUAGAUACACAUUAAUGUGAGGUGACGCGAUAUAUUUAACAUGAAAACACGGUAAGUGAGAGAGAGCAGGUCAGUGAUCACAUCAUACACGUUUGUGUUUGUCACGACAGGUAUGCCGCUGACACAACGCAAUUUAUUUUCACUUUCUAUAGCCGUCUAGUGACCGGAGAUUCCGCGUUUUUUUUAAUACACGCCGCGACCAUCAUAGUGUUUUUUUUCUACUAAAAAACCACCACUUUCGUAACGGUACGGCGGCGCUGCUGCUUAGACCGGUCCCUGCAACGUAUGGCAUUGAAAACUAAUUUCAUUCGCGCUUUAUCAUUCGGUCGUUUCGGUCAUAUCGAUGCCAAGUAUUUGGAUCGUGUAUUACCUUGUAACCAUAGUCGUUGAACUGAGCUGCUUAUCGUUUUUUUGAAUGUGACGGUGUUGUUUGCCCUUCCUGUAUCCGGAUUUCACAUUAUUCAUCAGCUCCAAACGGCAAGAUUACAACUACAAAGAAAUUAUUACCAAUGAAACUAAAAGACUGUCUUCUCCAGUGUCCUCAGAUUCUAAUUCUAGUAGAUUAUCAAGUCCCAAAUCAAAUUGUAGUAAUAAUUCAACUUUAGUCCAUUACAAGAAACGUGUAUCAAAAACUUUUGUGGAAAGUCAAAAUGAUACAAUGAAUUGUUUCUUACCUGAUCCAAAUGUCAAUCUACAAACUUUGGCUGAUGUUGCUCUUCGUAACAUUCCAUUUUAAACUAAAGUUACAGCCAAAUAUUGAAUUUAUAAGUGGUUCAGAGACUAACUGAUAUAUCAAUAUAUCAAUAUCUAAACUAUUUUAUCUACCAAAUUUAGUUUUCAAUUCUUUAACAAAUUAUUAGACCAAUUUAUGAAAAUUCGUUUUGUUUGAUUUUAUUUUGUAUUUUUAUCAAACUAUGAUAUUACAUUUUUGUGUAUUCAAUCACACAUAUACUUCUAAGUAUAAUGAAAUUAAUAUUACAUUUUAAUGUACUGUUUAAGUUUCUUAAAGAAAUGAUAUUUAUUUCCUAUAAUAAGAAGUUUUUAUAUUGCUCAAGAAAAUAUUUAUGAUAAAACACUUGACAAGCAAUGACAA